CCUUAGAGUUUGAUCCUGGCUCAGGACGAACGCUGGCGGCGCGCCUAACACAUGCAAGUCGAACGAGCGAGAGAGAGCUUGCUUUCUCAAGCGAGUGGCGAACGGGUGAGUAACGCGUGAGGAACCUGCCUCAAAGAGGGGGACAACAGUUGGAAACGACUGCUAAUACCGCAUAAGCCCACGACCCGGCAUCGGGUAGAGGGAAAAGGAGAAAUCCGCUUUGAGAUGGCCUCGCGUCCGAUUAGCUAGUUGGUGAGGUAACGGCCCACCAAGGCGACGAUCGGUAGCCGGACUGAGAGGUUGAACGGCCACAUUGGGACUGAGACACGGCCCAGACUCCUACGGGAGGCAGCAGUGGGGAAUAUUGCACAAUGGGGGGAACCCUGAUGCAGCGACGCCGCGUGGAGGAAGAAGGUCUUCGGAUUGUAAACUCCUGUUGUUGAGGAAGAUAAUGACGGUACUCAACAAGGAAGUGACGGCUAACUACGUGCCAGCAGCCGCGGUAAAACGUAGGUCACAAGCGUUGUCCGGAAUUACUGGGUGUAAAGGGAGCGCAGGCGGGAAGACAAGUUGGAAGUGAAAUCCAUGGGCUCAACCCAUGAACUGCUUUCAAAACUGUUUUUCUUGAGUAGUGCAGAGGUAGGCGGAAUUCCCGGUGUAGCGGUGGAAUGCGUAGAUAUCGGGAGGAACACCAGUGGCGAAGGCGGCCUACUGGGCACCCAACUGACGCUGAGGCUCGAAAGUGUGGGUAGCAAACAGGAUUAGAUACCCUGGUAGUCCACACCGUAAACGAUGAUUACUAGGUGUUGGAGGAUUGACCCCUUCAGUGCCGCAGUUAACACAAUAAGUAAUCCACCUGGGGAGUACGACCGCAAGGUUGAAACUCAAAGGAAUUGACGGGGGCCCGCACAAGCAGUGGAGUAUGUGGUUUAAUUCGACGCAACGCGAAGAACCUUACCAAGUCUUGACAUCCUGCGACGCACAUAGAAAUAUGUGUUUCCUUCGGGACGCAGAGACAGGUGGUGCAUGGUUGUCGUCAGCUCGUGUCGUGAGAUGUUGGGUUAAGUCCCGCAACGAGCGCAACCCUUAUGGUCAGUUACUACGCAAGAGGACUCUGGCCAGACUGCCGUUGACAAAACGGAGGAAGGUGGGGAUGACGUCAAAUCAUCAUGCCCUUUAUGACUUGGGCUACACACGUACUACAAUGGCGUUAAACAAAGAGAAGCAAGACCGCGAGGUGGAGCAAAACUCAGAAACAACGUCCCAGUUCGGACUGCAGGCUGCAACUCGCCUGCACGAAGUCGGAAUUGCUAGUAAUCGCAGAUCAGCAUGCUGCGGUGAAUACGUUCCCGGGCCUUGCAAUCACCGCCCGUCA
rnacentral:rRNA from 1 species